GUGCACCAGUCGCGAAACCUCCACAAUGCGGGAAACCGUGAUGGGGGGAAUCCGAGUGCCCGUUGGCUAAUGCUGGCGGGCUUUUCUCAAGCGUAAAAGGCUUGAGGAAUAAGGACUGGGUAAGACCGGUAGCCAGCCCGCCGCGGUAACACCGGCGGUCCAACUGGUGAUCAGCAUUACUGGGCCUAAAGCGUCCGUAGCCGGAUGGUUGGAUUCUGAGUGAAAUUUCCCAGCUCAACUGGGAAGCGUGCUUGGAACACCCGCCAUCCUUGGGACCGGG
rnacentral:rRNA from 1 species